CCUACGGGAGGCAGCAGUAGGGAAUAUUGCUCAAUGGGGGAAACCCUGAAGCAGCAACGCCGCGUGGAGGAUGAAGGUUUUCGGAUUGUAAACUCCUUUUGUUAGAGAAGAUAAUGACGGUAUCUAACGAAUAAGCACCGGCUAACUCCGUGCCAGCAGCCGCGGUCAUACGGAGGGUGCAAGCGUUACUCGGAAUCACUGGGCGUAAAGAGCGCGUAGGCGGGAUAGCAAGCCAGAUGUGAAAUCCUAUGGCUUAACCAUAGAACUGCAUUUGAAACUGUUAUUCUAGAGUAUGGGAGAGGUAGGUAGAAUUCUUGGUGUAGGGGUAAAAUCCGUAGAGAUCAAGAGGAAUACUCAUUGCGAAGGCGACCUGCUAGAACAUAACUGACGCUGAUGCGCGAAAGCGUGGGGAGCAAACAGGAUUAGAUACCCCUGUAGUC
rnacentral:rRNA from 1 species